CCUACGGGAGGCAGCAGUGAGGAAUAUUGGUCAAUGGGCGUAAGCCUGAACCAGCCAAGUCGCGUGAGGGAUGAAGGCUCUAUGGAUCGUAAACCUCUUUUAUAAGGGAAUAAAGUGUGGGACGUGUCCUAUUCUGUAUGUACCUUAUGAAUAAGGAUCGGCUAACUCCGUGCCAGCAGCCGCGGUAAUACGGAGGAUCCGAGCGUUAUCCGGAUUUAUUGGGUUUAAAGGGUGCGUAGGCGGCCUUUUAAGUCAGCGGUGAAAGUUUUGGGCUUAACCAUAGAAUUGCCGUUGAAACUGGGGGCCUUGAGGAUGUUUGAGGCAGGCGGAAUGCGUGGUGUAGCGGUGAAAUGCUUAGAUAUCACGCAGAACCCCGAUUGCGAAGGCAGCCUGCCAAGCCAUGACUGACGCUGAUGCACGAAAGCGUGGGGAUCAAACAGGAGUAGAUACCCGGGUAGUC
rnacentral:rRNA from 1 species